UACAGAGGAGCCAAGCGUUGUCCGGAUUUACUGGGCGUAAAGAGCGCGUAGGCGGCUCGUUAAGUGAGAAGUGAAAGCUGUGGGCUCAACCCACAAACCGCUUUUCAUACUGGCGAGCUGGAGUGAUGCAGAGGUGGAUAGAAUUCCCGGUGUAGCGGUGAAAUGCGUUGAUAUCGGGAGGAAUACCCGUGGCGAAGGCGGUCCACUGGGCAUCAACUGACGCUGAGGCGCGAAAGCGUGGGUAGCAAACAGG
rnacentral:rRNA from 1 species